rnacentral:rRNA from 1 species
GAUGAACGCUGGCGGCGUGCCUAAUACAUGCAAGUCGAGCGAACAGAUGAGGAGCUUGCUCCUCUGACGUUAGCGGCGGACGGGUGAGUAACACGUGGAUAACCUACCUAUAAGACUGGGAUAACUUCGGGAAACCGGAGCUAAUACCGGAUAAUAUAUUGAACCGCAUGGUUCAAUAGUGAAAGACGGUUUUGCUGUCACUUAUAGAUGGAUCCGCGCCGCAUUAGCUAGUUGGUAAGGUAACGGCUUACCAAGGCAACGAUGCGUAGCCGACCUGAGAGAGUGGUCGGCCACACUGGAACUGAGACACGGUCCAGACUCCUACGGGAGGCAGCAGUAGGGAAUCUUCCGCAAUGGGCGAAAGCCUGACGGAGCAACGCCGCGUGAGUGAUGGAGGUCUUCGGAUCGUAAAACUCUGUUAUUAGGGAAGAACAAAUGUGUAAGUAACUAUGCACGUCUUGACGGUACCUAAUCAGAAAGCCACGGCUAACUACGUG